rnacentral:snoRNA from 1 species
GCCAUGAUUAUUUUUGCUUUUUAACCCUGAGUCCUACGAUGAGGACUAAAAACAACAACAACACUCUAAUUUUUUAAUGAGC